UCCGAAUUGGUGUAGUGGCUAACAUUUGACGCUCUCAUUAAUUACUAUGAUCCGUCAAGCCCGGGGUUCGAUUCCCCGAUUCGGAG